AAUUGAGACUACAAUGGGUCGUAAUCCAAUUAAAAUUUUAUUAAUUAUAGCAAGUAGAAUAUGAGCAAAAACAGCGCUGGACGGCAGGGGAGUCUACGCUCCACCAACUGCCGUGUUGGGUAGAUAAGACUGUCCUUUUUAUACAUCCCGACUCCCGCGUUCAUAGAGUGGUGGAGAUACUCUGCGCAUGUUCCAACUGUUGCUAGGGGUCUAAAGUGGUGGAGAUACUCUGCGCAUGUUCCAACUGUUGCUAGGGGGUCUGUUUUCUUCUCGCGGCCGACCCCCCGCUUUCAUGUCCUUAUACGGAGCUGUUUUUCUUACUUUUAUCAGUUUCCUCGGGACAUCCUGCGGUUUGCACAAGCGGCGUCGGCCACGUUUGCACAAGCGACAGCUGAGUUAGUAGCUGUUUGCCUUAGCGAUUUCACAUCCUUUGUUAUCCGACCUUUACAUUGGGUUUAGUCUAAGUCUCAAUAAACA